rnacentral:rRNA from 1 species
UCCUACGGGGGGCAGCAGUGGGGAGUAUUGCACAAUGGGGGAAACCCUGAUGCAGCGACGCCGCGUGAGUGAAGAAGUAAUUCGUUAUGUAAAGCUCUAUCAGCAGGGAAGAAAAUGACGGUACCUGAGUAAGAAGCCCCGGCUAACUACGUGCCAGCAGCCGCGGUAAUACGUAGGGGGCAAGCGUUGUUCGGAAUGACUGGGCGUAAAGGGUGUGUAGGCGGUUUAGCAAGUUAGAAGUGAAAUACCUAGAGCUUAACUCAGGUGCUGCUUCUAAAACUGCUAGACUUUAGUGCAGUAGAGGA